rnacentral:rRNA from 1 species
UACGUAGGUGGCGAGCGUUGUCCGGAUUUACUGGGCGUAAAGCGCGCGUAGGCGGCUUUCUAAGUCCUGUCGUGAAAGGUCGCGGCCCAACUGCGACAGUGCGCGGGAUACUGGGGAGCUUGAGGGCAGCAGAGGCCGGUGGAAUUCCCGGUGGAGUGGUGAAAUGCGUAGAUAUCGAGAGGAACACCUGCGGCGAAGGCGGGUUGCUGGGCCGACACUGACGCUGAUGCGCGAAAGCCAGGGGAGCGAACGGG